rnacentral:ncRNA from 1 species
UAAGGUAGAGGUGCGAAUUUAAAGAGUACUACUAGGGAGUGAAAGCAACGUUGAGCUAGUAAGAAAGGGAAAUUUCGCCGAAGAGUAUAAAAUAGGCUUAAAUUUUAUAUGUCUGGGAUUGCAUAAAAUAUAUGUAAUACUGUCACAAUAAUAAUUGUGGGGUGCUAUCA